AUAAUGAUACUUCUGCCUUAGGGCAGCUCGGUGAGAACCACGGAGAGGUGAGAACCCUAUGG
rnacentral:ncRNA from 1 species